AUAUUUUGAUUCUGUAUUUCAAUAAACACCAUCAUCAUGUGGUGGAGAAUCCUUUUGUCGAAUCUGAAAUUAAUCUCCGCCGUUGGCUCCUCCUUUGCGGCUGAGUCCACUCACCUUCCUCUCUCGACUCGUGCCUCCUCCAUUUCUGCUUAUUCCUCGCUUUUCGCUCGCCAAUUCGGCUCCGCUACUGCGGAAACUGUUGUGAAGAAGAAGCGUGUGGAAGAUGUGAUGCCUAUUGCAACUGGCCACGAGAAAGAGGAACUCGAAGCCGAAUUCGUUCUUCUUGUUUGAUGAUGCUCAAAUGGAAGGAAGCUGCUCGAUAUAGACUUUCCCGAGGGUCCUUUUGGCACAAAGGAAGCUCCUGCUAUAGUCAAAUCCUACUACCACAUGAGAAUAGUUGGUUGCCCAGGAGGUGAAGCAGGUGUUCUUCUUUUUCUCUUACUCUACAUAUCCCAUAUCAUAUCUUACCCACUUUAAUGUGGAGCAAAGAGAGAUAUAUCUUUUGAACGGCAGAGGAUGAGCAUGACGUUGUCUGGUUUUGGCUGGAGAAAGGCAAGUCUGUUGAGUGCCCUGCGUGUUCCCAGUACUUUAAGGCUGUGUAUCCUAGCUUCUCUUUAAAUCUACAAGCAAAUUAAGUUUCAUAAACUUAUCACUGCAAAAUGGGUUUAAUGGUUGAUAGCUUCAAGUGGUUGGUCCUGGGGGACCUCCUGACGGACAUGGCGAUCACCACCACUGAACUCCCAAGAAUAAGAAAGAAAGGGUGUGGUGGUGGCUUCGCUUCUGAAACGCGAACCCCCUUUUGGUUUUCUUUAUGCUUUUUACUUCUAUUCCACCACAAUAGAUAUAUAUGUCCAUCUUCGUGGACAUUCGUUUCUCGUCCUUCAACCUUUUUUUGCCAAAUAAUUGAGAGAGGCCAUACUCUUAUUCUUUCCC